rnacentral:tRNA from 2 species
UGCCGACGUGGCGGAAUAGGCAGACGCACAGGACUUAAAAUCCUGCGAUAGAGAUAUCGUACCGGUUCGAUCCCGGUCGUCGGCAU